GCCGCUACCGGCGCCCGGCCGCCUUUCGCUCCGACCUCCCACCGCCCCACGCGCCUGCUCCCUCUGCCUCUUCCCCCGGCCUGCCUCGCGUCCGCCCUCUGCCCCCAACUCCCGCGCGGGGCCGAUCCCGCCACCCGCAGGAGCGCGUCGCCGGCGACCGCGCCGGUGGAGCUCGGGGAGGUCGCGUCCAGGAGCAGGAGAGGCGUCCAGGAGCAGGAGAGGCGAUUGCUUCUCAAGCCUGUUCAAAUUGGUUUUAACCUGCGGCGGACACACAGAGGCGUUCGCUUGCCUCUAUUUAUCAGAGUCCGGUGUAUGGGGAAAUAUUGUCUCCACGCCGACUACAGAUGCGAUUCUUCUCCUAAGGCCCAACAUCCUGGCUAUGACGAGGACUCAAAUGUGAUUGUUCUUUCUGCAUACAUUGGCGACUUCAUGCUCCAAAUUGAGUCAAUGCGGCUAAGAAGAUUUUCUGUAAGAAAUUGACGGCAUAACAAGAUGCACCAUUCCUACAGAAAUUUCUAUACUGCAGGCAGGGGAGUUGGGUGGAAAUGGUUGGAUCUGAAACUCUGAGCACGUGAGAUCUGCUAAUGUGCUAUGUUGGUUGACCAGGAUCGGCAAGUUGAGGAGCAUGGUGAGGGAAUCGGUGAUAGUAUGCUGAAGCACGUGAAGCCAUGUAUUUUUGAACAUACAAACUGGUAGUGCCGUUCUUCUUCAACACAGCAACUCUGCUCACCGUUCCUCAUCCACGGUGCUUCCUCUGCUGCAGAAACAAAGCGAGUAGGUGAUCUGACUGCAGUGCAGUAACCCUGUAUGUAGGCACCCAGCAUCUAGUGCCCUCAACUAUUCCUUGUUUAUUCCAGGCACCAUCUAAACCAGUAGUCAUGCAUGCACUUUGUACCAUUCCUCCACUCACCUUGCCUUUAUGUA